AUUGAACGCUGGCGGCAUGCCUUACACAUGCAAGUCGAACGGUAACAGGUCUUCGGAUGCUGACGAGUGGCGAACGGGUGAGUAAUACAUCGGAACGCGCCCGAGAGUGGGGGAUAACGAGGCGAAAGCUUUGCUAAUACCGCAUACGAUCUCAGGAUGAAAGCAGGGGACCGCAAGGCCUUGCGCUCACGGAGCGGCCGAUGGCAGAUUAGGUAGUUGGUGGGAUAAAAGCUUACCAAGCCGACGAUCUGUAGCUGGUCUGAGAGGACGACCAGCCAAACUGGGACUGAGACACGGCCCAGACUCCUACGGGAGGCAGCAGUGGGGAAUUUUGGACAAUGGGCGCAAGCCUGAUCCAGCCAUGCCGCGUGCAGGAUGAAGGCCUUCGGGUUGUAAACUGCUUUUGUACGGAACGAAAAGACUCCUUCUAAUAAAGGGGGUCCAUGACGGUACCGUAAGAAUAAGCACCGGCUAACUACGUGCCAGCCGCCGCGGUAAUAC
rnacentral:rRNA from 1 species